rnacentral:lncRNA from 1 species
UCUACUUUUCUUGAGGUAGUGUUAUGGUUUGCAUACACUCUACUCUCCCCAGACCCCACUAGGUGGGAAUACACUGGGUAUGUUGUUGUUGUUGUAAUUACAAUUCAUAGUCUCUCUCAUGUGUUUUUUCCUUUUCUCUAUUUUCUAUUACUUUUUUUUCUUUUUCAGUUUUUUGCUGCAUUUUUUCUUUUUCGUUUUCUUUUUUUCCUUUUGUUUUUUU